CGGAAGUUUUGCACGAACUGUUGAGAGGUGAACUCCGCCAUAAUUGUGUCCCGCCAGAAGAGCGAUGGCGGAUGUGUCCCGCUUGUAUGCCAUCUCCAGCUUCGCAGCCAGCCUGGUGAUCAUCUACAAUGAUGAACUUUGCAAGCCCAGUGAGGGGCUAAGCAGAAUUGUUCUCACUUGCUGUUCGGAGACGUGAGAAGCGUUUGGCAUUGAGGCCAGCGACCGCCAUCUGCUGCGCAGGCUGAUUCCUCCGGAGGUCUUCCUUUCAAAAAGCGGCUCCCUGGCUGAGGCUGACAUCCCAACCUUUGUCAUCUCAAGUCAUUUCAACUAUUUGAUGAGAAACAAGCACCUGAGCAGUUCCCACUCCAUUUUGUCCUCUUCAUCAAUUCCUGCCCUCUUUGCUGAGUAGAGAUCUUUUGAUCUCAUCCAGGGGUAGAAGCCAGAAAUUGAGACAGACAAGUUGAGGCUGCGGAAAGUGAGGGAUCAAUUUGAAAGCAGAUCCUUUGCGGGCAAACUGCUCAUCGCGGCUGUUGAUGAAAAAUCUCUGGUAACGUAAAGGCAAUUUGACGUCAAGCUCUUGUGGAUGAUUAAUCAUCAGACGGAGUGCUUGGUUGUUGUCAACCAUGACACCGAUGCCAUAUUUACAUUUAUGUUGAUGAUGGUAAGCGUUCCUUUCCAAGGAUGGGUAAAAGAGCAAUCAGGAGGAUAAUAAUGGCUUUGAUUGUAUAGCACUGUUCAAAGUGUUACAAAGUGAUCAACAGUAAAGCAAAUACAAGUACGAGGCAACGGUACUCAGUCGGAAAGGUGCGGACUGCCCUCUCCAGGUCUGCCCCAUGCGGAGCAGUUCAAGUCUCUUGGCAUCUUGUUCGCUGAUGCCUCUUCGACUGUAUCUGCCUUAGUGUUCAUAUUUCACAGAUUUUUUUUUUUAAGACAAAACGUUGCAUGUGUCGUCGUAGAUAAAAACCUUUAUUAAGACAUCACCUCUCCAAAAAUAUCAACAUUUCUUUAGCUUUGGUAUCAACCUAUGUACCAUACAAUGAUGUAUACAAGAUCUUUGUAGCCGGUAGAUGGGGGGGGGGGGGGUCUACACAACACAUCUGCUGUUUUUCGAGAGAAACACAACACUGAAAGCUGAACUAUUCACUGGCAACACAGCACCUGAUGCUCUGCUUUGCAAAACCUCACAGCUAUCUUUGCACUGCAAGACAAUGAAGAGGUCGAAAUCGGUUCGCAGGAUGCCGACAAGCACAUGACAAACAAUAUAUACGGAACAAAAAUCAUUUUAGCGAGAACGUAUUGUCAUGUCACUCGAACACUUUGCUGUGCACUCGAAAGACGUACUGAUGUGAUCGAGGACAUGGAGCCUGUUGUUCGAAAUAGUCGCCGAUUGUUGUAAACAUAGCGUUGGGAGGCAUGUGAAAUCCGCCCGUGUGCUUUGCUGAGCAACUGCCCCGAAGCAAGACACUAUGCGGCCAACCCUUUCGGUUUAUAAAAGAAGGGAUCCUGAGCAUUGGGUUUAACCAGAAACAUUUGAUUUCGUUACCAUGCAAGGAAUAUCAUAUUACAAGCAAUGCAAAGAUCAUUGCGAGGGGAUCGUUCAUUUUCGUAAUGUUUUAUUGGGCAGGUGUGCCGAGUUUCUCGCGCUAUCCACCGAACAUGACCAAAUGUCACCGUGAGAUUAAGUGUAUUCAUUCAAUCAGGGAUGCCAUCGUCAAGUGCGCAUGCAGACCACUGAGGGAACGAUGCAGAAGCUCUUUCACGUGCAUUUCUUGAUCGCUGUCACCUUUCAAUGCCGCUUACAUGGCAGCGGUGCUUCAAAGUACAUGUUCAAUCGCGUCUUAGGAUGAAAUGUCAAUUAGGGGGACCUUUAAAUCAUUUUAAAGUGACAACUGAUCAAUUUAAGACAACGUUGUCGGACAGGGGAAUUACUUGAAAACCACCGGUGUUACAUUCUUCGUCUUUGUCGACAGUCUUACGCCGUGGCUUCUUUCUUUCAGUUCUACUGUUGGUAGACAAUAUGGAAAAACUGUCUAUCUUCCAUUCACAUUCAGUUAUUUAAAAAAAUAUUUACAAACUGCUG